UAAAAAUAAAUAAAUAAAUAAAAACUUAGUGCUUCCUUUCUAGAGUUUCCUUCUAUGAUUCUUCUCUAAGUGCAGUAACAGAUAGGCCACUGGCAUAAAUAGGUCAGCAAUCAGCAUCUAUUCCAAGCCAUGCUUUUUUUUUCCCCAAUAAAUGAAGACCAAGUUCCAAGUAUGACAUAAGAUGCAGCUCUCCCAUUGUGGCUCUAUCUGGUGGUCUUACCAUGCUUUGCAUCACAGGAACAGUAUACAAGGAACCAAAAAGAGCAAACAAAACCCAGGCUUUCUAUAUGGUUGUCACUUAAGCAUCCUAUAAGGAACUUGACAAUGGAAUUUAUUUACAGUGACAUGAUAAGCUCCCAGAGAAAUUCGCAAGAUCAAUGAACACUUCAAUAGUUGCACUGAAACCCAUAGUCCUAAUGAAAAAGGCCAGUACACAGGCAACUUUGAAUUUUUGUAACUUUGCAAUUUGUUAUUUCUACCAUCCAUUCAAUUGUAAUGCUUUAUAAAAUAUGGUUUACUUUGUUAAAGACAAAGCCAGUAUAGAAUUCACCAUAAAAGAUAUAAUUUUUUCCCAAGAUAGGUAGUUCAGACACUCAUGGGAUGACAGGAUUUUACUCUACUAAUAUAGGACAUAAUGAGGAAGUUCCAAAUUCUACAUAAUGUUCCUAAGGCAACUCCCCAGUAGUUAGAACUAGUUAUUCCAAGUUGGAAAUCUCAUGUUCAAAACACUGGAGUGGGAAGGUAGGGUAUACAGGGAUAACUCUACUCAUGCUAUACACCACUCCAUAAAAUAAUGCUAAACUAAACUAAUAUUGAAAUCUCUCCAGACUCAUCAAUGGAAAGGAGAAUGUUGUAUUGGCAGCUUAGUUAGUUUAACAGGUGAAAAGAAUUUAGACUUACUUUAAUACAACAGAUAUGGAUUACAUUAGCUUCACUAAUCUUGUAAAUUUAAAUUUGAAUGUUAAGCUAAAAUGGUUAUUUCCAAGUAGGUUGAUGGUUGAUUUGGCUAAUGGAGGUCUCCAUUGUCUGGUCCAACUAUUAGACCAGAAAAUAAAAUAUGUUAUAAAUGAUACAGAAUGCAAUGGCAUACCUGCCAGGCUAUGAGUUAUGAUAGCUAACCUUGACAUAGG
rnacentral:misc_RNA from 1 species